GCUGGGUGUGGUGAUGCACAACUGUAAUCCCAGCAGCUUGGGAGGCUGAGACAGGAGGAUGGUGAGUUCAAAGCCAGCCUCAGCAACUCCAAGGCACUAAGCAACUCAGUGAGACCCUGUCUCUA
rnacentral:sRNA from 1 species